CGGAGAGACUCAUUUGGAUUCUUCUUGAUGUUGAAGAGAUGAUCGAACUUCUUCUUGAUUGAGCGGUAAGAUGGGUACUCUUUAGUGUAAACUAUGGAAAGCUCAUCGAAACUCUGAAUAGACUGUGGAUGGAGGAGGGUAUGAAACCAAUCAUGCACCUCGCCUUGCAAAGUAGUAGUGAACAUCUUGCACAUUAAGGAGUCGUUGGCCCUGUAGAGGAUUAUCGUGCUACGGUAAUGCUUGAAGUGUCUUUUCUGGUCUCAAUCUCCCUUGAAUAGGGUGAAAUGUGGCGUAUUAAACUUAUUCAGGGGCUUUGUCUGCUCGAUCUCAUCUGUGAAAGGUAAUCUGCCUAUGUAAGCCACGUCUCUGCAAAAGGCUUUGGCUGUGGUCUCG
rnacentral:lncRNA from 1 species